CACGUAGUUAGCCGGCGCUUCUUAUCCAGCUACCGUCAACCCACCCACAAAAAAGGAGCAGGCCUGCUUCACUGGCGAAAGAGGUUCACAACCCGAAGGCCUCCAUCCCUCACGCGGCGUCGCUGCAUCAGGCUUGCGCCCAUUGUGCAAUAUUCCCCACUGCCUGCCUCCCGUAGGAGUCUGGGCCGUGUCUCAGUCCCAGUGUGACCGUCCACCCUCUCAGGCCGGCUACCCCGUCACCGCCUUGGUAGGCCAUCACCCCACCAACAAGCUGAUAGGCCGCGAGCCCAUCCCCCACCGGAAAAAACCUUUCCCAGGCCCACCAUGCGACAGACCCAGAAUAUCCCGUAUUAGCCACACUUUCAUGCGGUUAUCCAGAAGAAGGGGCAGGUACUCACGUGUACUCACCGUUCGCCACUCAUCCAGACCCACAAAAGCAGGCCCCUUCACCGUUCGACUUGCAUGUGUUAAGCACCGCCGCCAGCGUCGUCCUGACGCCGAGGA
rnacentral:rRNA from 1 species